rnacentral:rRNA from 1 species
UACGGAGGGUGCGAGCGUUGUCCGGAUUUACUGGGCGUAAAGAGCGUGUAGGCGGCCAAACAGGUCCGUUGUGAAAACUGGAGGCUCAACCUCCAGACGUCGACGGAAACCGUGUGGCUAGAGUCCGGAAGAGGAGAGUGGAAUUCCUGGUGUAGCGGUGAAAUGCGCAGAUAUCAGGAAGAACACCAAUGGCGAAGGCAGCUCUCUGGGACGGUACUGACGCUGAGACGCGAAAGCGUGGGGAGCGAACAGG